UUCCCCACGCACGAGGCCGUGACUUUGGUGCUCUGAGGCCUAGAGGGACCCCAGGCUGGACGCUGACUCAGACAGGCCCUGGGACUGUGGUGCCACCCUGGCUCGUGGCAGCCACCCCAGAAGGCAGGACCUGCCCCAUCCUAGGUGGCCUCCCUCUGGCUGCCGGUCAGGCCAGGCUCCAGAAGCUCCUCUUUGGAGAGACCUGGGUUUGCCCCUGCCCAGCACCAUGAAGACCCUUGGGGGGGGGCAUGUCCCCCACACCAUCAUGCGGGUGCUGCCUGCCUGAGUUCAUUCCCAGGUUUGGGCUUCCUGGGUCGCCGGGUCAUGUGUCUCCGACCCAGGGUGGCUAUGCGCUCAGCUCCCACAGCCCCGGGGCCGUCCCCUCCAAAGCCCGGAGAAUAUAUAAUGGAUCCAGACUUGAGCUACCUGCCCAAAGGCAUAUUCAGUGACAUUCUCCCCUUCACCGCACACCGCGACCACGACCAGAGGGCACUCGGGGGCCGAGCUGAACCACCUGCCCCUGGGAGGGGCCUCUGAGAAAACUGAGCCCCUUCCUGGUGUGUGCUCCCCAAGGGACCCUUCUCCCGCCUCACCGCCCCCAGGGCAGCUCCGUGACGGAGAGCCACCUCCAGCCCCAGCAGACCAGCGGUCCCCUCCCCGUGGGGCCUCCGGCUGACCCCUCACCCGGGACCCCCUCCACCAGCGGGCUGCCACUUCAGGGGUAGUGCUAGCUUCAUGAAAUGAACCCCAAGAAGACGAAGAGCUGAAACAAGGAAGGAGAAUAACAAUGUAACACCAUGUAACACGAGGCCUUGGUCAAAGCCAGGAAGCUGUUAGGACCAGGUCGGGGGAGACUCAGAGAAGCACACAGACACCGGGCAGAAGAAAUGCUGAGACCAAGCUCGAAAGAGACAGGAUGACGCCUGUGCUUGAGACUCCGUGCGUUCUGCCGGCCAGCGGGCGCCGCGACGGGUUUCCACGACCGGCCACUAGCAUCGCUGGGAAGUGGCUCCGAGGCCCCCUGGCCGUGAGGCAGCACGUCCCGCUGAGUUCUCAGAGAUGGGGCCGAGCCUCUUCCAGAGCGUGGGGCCCUCUGGGGUCCCUCGGGCUCCCUGGCUGGCUGGCAGCGACCCCCUGGACUCGGCCCCCUCACCCAGCGGUCAGGCUUAGCAAACCAGCCCCGGCCCUCCCCGGGGCUGUCCCCUGCCUGGGGCCUUGCUCGCCUGGGUGAGGCACACUGCACAUGGCCACAGAAAGAGCGUGCGCCAGAAAUGUGACUUAAA